GAUGAACGCUGGCUACAGGCUUAACACAUGCAAGUCGAGCGGAAACGCCGGGGAAUCUUGCUUCCCCGGGCGUCGACCGGCGCACGGGUGAGUAACGCGUAACCAACCUGCCUCUGACUGAGGGAUAACCCGUCGAAAGUCUGCCUAAUACCUCAUGGCAUCGUCUGCGGGCAUCCAACGACGAUUAAAGAUUUCAUCGGUCAGAGAUGGGGAUGCGUCUGAUUAGCUUGUUGGCGGGGUAACGGCCCACCAAGGCGACGAUCAGUAGGGGUUCUGAGAGGAAGGUCCCCCACAUUGGAAACGCGACCCGGUCGAAACCGCUACGGGAGGGAGCAGUAAGGACUAUUGGGGACGGGGCGAGGGCCUGAACCAGCCAAGUAGCGUGCAGGAUGCCGGCGCUAUGGGUGGUAAACUGCUUUUAAGCGGGGAUAGAGUGAGGGACGUGUCCUUCAUUGACGGUACCGAAUGAAUAAGGACCGGCUAAUUCCGUG
rnacentral:rRNA from 1 species